rnacentral:rRNA from 1 species
GUUAGACGAACGGUCUGGAAAGUCCGACGAUACAGGGUGAUAGUCCCGUAGUUGACGACGUGUGUUCAGUGAAAUCGAGUAGGGCGGGACACGUGAUAUCCUGUCUGAAUAUGGGGGGACCAUCCUCCAAGGCUAAAUACUACUGACUGACCGAUAGUGAACCAGUACCGUGAGGGAAAGGCGAAAAGAACCCCUGUGAGGGGAGUGAAAUAGAACCUGAAACCGUGUACGUACAAGCAGUAGGAGCAGGCUUUGUCCUGUGACUGCGUACCUUUUGUAUAAUGGGUCAGCGACUUAUAUUCAGUGGCAAGGUUAACCAUCUAGGGGAGCCGUAGGGAAACCGAGUCUUAACUGGGCGUUCAGUCUCUGGAUAUAGACCCGAAACCAGGUGAUCUAGCCAUGGGCAGGUUGAAGGUUGAGUAACAUCAACUGGAGGACCGAACCGACUAAUGUUGAAAAAUUAGCGGAUGACUUGUGGCUAGGGGUGAAAGGCCAAUCAAACCUGGAGAUAGCUGGUUCUCCCCGAAAGCUAUUUAGGUAGCGCCUCGGACGAAUACUACUGGGGGUAGAGCACUGUUAAGGCUAGGGGGUCAUCCCGACUUACCAACCCUUUGCAAACUCCGAAUACCAGUAAGUACUAUCCGGGAGACACACGGCGGGUGCUAACGUCCGUCGUGGAGAGGGAAACAACCCAGACCGCCAGCUAAGGUCCCAAAUUACUACUAAGUGGGAAACGAUGUGGGAAGGCUCAGACAGCCAGGAUGUUGGCUUAGAAGCAGCCAUCAUUUAAAGAAAGCGUAAUAGCUCACUGGUCGAGUCGGCCUGCGCGGAAGAUGUAACGGGGCUAAGUAGUAAACCGAAGCUGCGGCAAUACUCUUUGAGUAUUGGGUAGGGGAGCGUUCUGUAAGCGGUUGAAGGUGUGUGGUAACGCAUGCUGGACGUAUCAGAAGUGCGAAUGCUGACAUGAGUAACGAUAAAGGGGGUGAAAAACCUCCUCGCCGGAAGACCAAGGGUUCCUGUCCAACGUUAAUCGGGGCAGGGUAAGUCGACCCCUAAGGCGAGGCCGAAAGGCGUAGUCGAUGGGAAACGGGUUAAUAUUCCCGUACUUCUUACAAUUGCGAUGGGGGGACGGAGAAGGCUAGGUGGGCCUGGCGACGGUUGUC